CAGGCACACAUAAGUUGGAGCAAGCCCACCUGGUUCCCAGCACGAGGCCCCCACCUGCCUUCCUAGCUUUACCAGAGAGGACAAGAAAGAGCAGGGACUCCGGUCCACGGAAGAUACCACCCACGUUCAGGACGAGUAUCCUUCCUCAGCUGUGGGAGGUGUUCGUCAUCGGUGCCCCGCCCACUCUACACACGAGGAUCUGAGGGUUCCAGACUCCCAAACACACGUGCUAACAUGACGAAGCUGCAGCCUGGGAAGCAGGCUUUCUUCCCAAGUCCACGGUGAACAAGAGGCAGACCUUCUCCGUCCUCGUCCACAUGCUACACAACUGCACACUGGAGGAGCCCAGUAAGCGCCAAAGGCAAGUCAGGUUGGUCUUUGCUUUCUUGGCUCUAGCAUGUUUUGAAUACACUCUUAUAUAAGGGGAUGGUUGACUACAAGGAGUGAGUUCAUGUGUGAUGGCCAGGCUGCUCUUCACAGCUCUUUAGCUGCCCCUGUCAACUUUGGAUGUGGUUAGGAAGGCCAAGUGCGGGAUCUACAGUCAAGCUGCAAGCUCACGAGCCCUCUUCCCUUCUUUCCCUUGAAUCUGUUUCUCACCGCUAUGGCCUACGUUCAAGCUCUCAGAUGGAGAAACGGCCCUUGAACAGUUGGCAGUACACCAAGAAGAAGGUGUGUGGUUUGGAUAUUGAGUUGUCCUAUCUACAUCAUGUAGCUAGCUCUCAUUGAGCAGUGCCAACCAAGCACCCGGGAUCGAGUUUGAUGUUUAGUCCCCAGAAGACACCAGGAAAGAAAGUUGGUUACAAGGACCUUCUGUGUGCUUCCGCUGUGGCUGCUGUUACCCUGGUCUAAUGGAGGCCUGCCCCAAGAGCCUGGGAUCCAUCAAGUCGGUCAUCCUCUUCUCAUCCCUAAGCCCACCCUGGCAACCUUGCCUCAUUCCCACAUCCAAUCUGUUCCUUACCUGGUCCUUGUCCACCCUGGACUUGUAAGAUACAGCCAGACAAUAGAAAACAGAAUUCAGGCACACACAUGGGGACAAAAAAAAUUAUGAAAAUGAAACGUAAAUAAAUAUGGAUGCUGAGGACCUAA